UUUCUAAUAACUCACUUUCCUGAUAUGCAACUAGUUUCUUAAGAAGUGGUUACAAAGAGUUUGUAGUAAUAGAAAAUGACAGAUUUUUGAAUGAUUGCAAUUUGUUGUUUUGUAAAAGAAUCAUGUGAAGCUCUUAAGAGUAGCACAACUUUUUGUUAGCAAGCAAAGCUCUGCUGUUAGCUACUUGGGCCACACAUCAUAGACACCAUAUUGGCAACCUUAGAAACUCCUGUUUUGUCAUCAACCACUUUGUCCUCUACCAUGAGCGUUUCUUUUUUCUCGGAAAAAGAUUAUUAGUAUUUUAUAACUAAUGUUUUGCUUUUCAAUUGCUAAAGAUUGGUUAUUAUCUGGUUGCUGUUGAGAAUGAUUCAGGAACUGUUGGUUUUUCUUCCAAGAAUCACUCUCUUGAAUCUUGAUGGCUCCUGUGUUGAACAUGCAGAUCAGGAUAUGCUCUGUUUUGUGUUAGAAGGAAGUCUCUGAAGAACAAGGUACAUAUUAUAUAACAGGGUUCCAACGGAGAACCGUGCAGAUAACUUAUUUGGGACAGCUUCUACAAAAAAACAUAUUCCGGCAAAAGAAAACAAUGCAACUACCUACACAUGGCUUAUUAAAGGCAAACAACACGAUUGGUGAGACCCCUGAAACGUCUCUCUUCACUACAGGAUUUGGAUUCUUUGUGAACCCCCAUAUCUUCUUCUCUCAUUCGCCAUGAGUUUUAUUUGGUUUUGCUCACCUUCCCUCUACUCUGGACACGACUAGCUGCACUUGUUCUUGUUCUAGCUUUGAGGUCUGAUUUUUCUCCUUCGUUGCUGAUUGUUUUCUCUGUGUGUUGGCGUUUUUGAAGGUAGACUUGUUUAGAACCAUUCUUCCUAGCUGCAUGUUUGUUGAUGUGCUUUGGAAGCUGAUUGCUAGGCCCCGAGGAUGCAUCAGAAGCCAUGGAAUCAUCACUCUCUUCAUCACCACCAUCAUCACUAGUAUCGCCAUCAUCGUUCUCAUAACCAUCAUCAGCCUCUUUAACCUGUGUAUCAUCAUCAUCAUCAUCGACAACAACAGAUGAUUGGUCAUUUCCAUGGAAGGCGUCUUCUAUGUACAUAGUCCACCCUGACUCACAACUGCUGUAUUCCUCCUCUUCAGAGCCUCCAUGGUUUCUCGGAGACUCCAUGGCUUCACGCAACAGAAAGAGGAAAACAAAACCAAGUAUCAAGAAAAGCCGGAGCCUAUAGGAAGCCUCAUAUAAUUGAAGAGAAGGAGUAAGUUUCACCACAUGGCAACCCUAGCACCAUUGUUUUCACUCAAUUGAAGCACUACCAGACAAAGCUCAUUGCAGAUAUAUAUCAAGGGAAGGAAGGUUAGUGCCUCCCUUCAUUAUAAAGUACACUCUCUUAUAGAAUUAAAAGCCUAUGCUCUUCUUUUUCAAUAUCAACUAACUAUACUUUUCUUUAAACAAAUAUUUUGGUUCCUAACAAACCAUAAUCUAGUCUUAGAGUCAGGACACAUCAAUAUCCACAGAACAAGAAUCAUCCUUGUAAGCUCUGUCAUUAGUUAUAUGACUUCUUAAUUGAUAUGUGAAGUUAUAAGUUAUCUCUAUCUCUCUCUCUCUUCUCUUCUCUCUAUGUAUGACUCUGGCUAUCUUAAAUAGAAAAGAUCAGCUUUUGAGGUGGAAAUCAGAAGAGACCCACAUGAACAAACAAGAAGGAAUAAAAGAAGCAUUUACUUAAUUAGGUUAAGAGCUGUUCCUCUUUCUCAUUCCUUUAAUACUCUUCUUCAUCCUCCAAUCCUCUCUCAUUGUCUUUAAAAUUGUUGCAGCCUUUUACUUCAUCUCUCAUUGUAUUGAAAAGGUUUACACAACUGGAUUUUGUUUGUCAUUUUUGUUUUAAAAGAUAAGGACAAAACAAAAAGAAGUAAACAACUGUCACAAACCCCAAAAUAAAAGUAAAAGACAGAAUUUGCAAAUUACAAGAAUAAAUUGUCUUCAUUGCGUUUCCUGUUUCUCUGGCGUCACCUUAAAAUGUUCUUUCAGUGGAGGCCCUCUUGGUGACAGCUUGCAAAUCAAGUGUGUGAUGAGAGUUCAUUUUACAAAAGGGUUGUUUUGUUUUGACUUUGACUCUUGUUUGAAUAUUGUGUAAACAAAGAUAUUAAGACAUUAUACAUUAGUUUGACUCUACUUUUAAUAAUGUAUCA
rnacentral:lncRNA from 1 species